rnacentral:lncRNA from 1 species
GACUUGAUCUACAGAUGCACAUUUUAAUUAGUAAGCAAAGAAUGUACUUGCUGCUGAAUGAGAUUUAAGAGACAAGACCCAAUUAUUAAGAAAGUUUAAAACUAGUUUGGGAUGUGACCUUUAUUGAACUUAUCCACCAGAGUGGAAAUCAUGUCUGUACAAAACCAAGUGUUUGUUACUAGAACUUCUGCAUCAUGAUUAAAAUCCAAACAGGUUUUAAAAACAGUCAACUCAACCAAAACCCACUACUUCAGAAUCAAUAGCUUCUUUGAAGCCACAGUAACACUUACAUAGUUAAGACUUGCAGAAAUUUGGUUGGUUGGAAGGCCAAUUAAGCCUCCAACUUGCUCAAAUAGAAUUACAAAAAGGCAAAAUUGUGUUUUUCACAGCGAUACAGUCCACUGGAAUCACCAACACUGGACAGCUGUUAAGAAUAUUUAGAGUCCCGAGAUAAUUAGGAAUCCAGGCAUCCUUAAACAGUCUUGUUAUUCUUCCUUCCCAGGCAGCGAUUUGUGGCUGUGUGGGAUGACACCACCACCAGCUAUGGUAGCCUUGAUCAGAGAAUCCAAUUCUUCAUCUCCACGUAUAGUAAGUUGCAAGUGACGAGUUAGCUAAUAGCUUUACCUUUAAGUCUUCCGAUGCAUUUCCUGCUAACUCAAGUACCUCUGCUGUGAGGAUCUCCAGGAUGGCUUCACUCUACACAGCAGCCUAUCUGG